GCAAAGCUCAUCUUUCUUCUCCCCCUGUAUAAAUAAUCGUUUAAUCUAAAUUAGUAAAGAGGAAAGGAGGAGCAAUGGUUUUCAUAAAGCUUUUUUUGCUUUUGGUAGCUGUAAACAGCAUUUACUCUCAGGUUGUGCUCACACAGUCUGAACAGUCAGUAGUUGUGUCUCCAGGUGGAUCACAUAAACUGACCUGUGCCUGCAGUGGAUUCAGUGUGAGUGGCACUAGCAUGUACUGGAUCCGUCAGGCACCUGGGAAAGGACUUGAAUGGAUCAUUUAUUAUUAUUCAGACUCAAAUAAGAGCUCAGCUCAGACAGUUCAGGGCAGAUUCACCGCAUCUAAAGACAACUCGAAUUUCUAUCUGCAUAUGAGUCAACUGAAGACAGAAGACACUGCAGUUUAUUAUUGUGCAAGAUACUCACUGUGAAAACUUUAAUACAGACAGCUGUUCCAAAACCAUCAACAAUGAGGAUGAAUCACCAUUGCUGUCACUGGGG